UUAAUUUGACUCAGCACGGGGAAACUUACUAGGUCCAGACAUAGUUAGGAUUGACAGACUAAGAGCUCUUUGUCCAGACAUAGUUAGGAUUGACAGACUAAGAG
rnacentral:rRNA from 1 species